AAUUCUCAAUCCUCUCUGGGUUUUUUCUCAGUUAGGAUUGGAUAAUGGGGGCUUUGCUGGCUUGAAUAUGGUCAGCUCUCCUAAAAUACAUUAGCAAGACUCUUGUUGCAGCCUUCUAUAUGGUGUGAUAAUUAUCUACAUCGUAGAUUGCAUGCAGUAAAAAAAUGUCAGGCUUCUAACAGUCCAUUGACUUGGACAAACUAAUUGACAA
rnacentral:misc_RNA from 1 species